GACGGCUCAGUAACGCGUAGUCAACCUAACCUAUGGACGGGGAUAACCUCGGGAAACUGAGAAUAAUACCCGAUAGAACAUUAUGCCUGGAAUGGUUUAUGUUUAAAAUAAUUUAUUGCCGUAGGAUGGGACUGCGGCCUAUCAGUUUGUUGGUGAGGUAUGGCCCACCAAGACUAUUACAGGUACGGGCUCUGAGAGGAGUAGCCCGGAGAUGGGUACUGAGACACGGACCCAGGCCCUAUGGGGCGCAGCAGGCGAGAAAACUUUGCAAUGUGCGAAAGCACGACAAGGUUAAUCCGAGUGGUUUCUGCUAAAGGAACCUUUUGCCAGUCCUAGAAACACUGGUGAAUAAGGGGUGGGCAAGUUCUGGUGUCAGCCGCCGCGGUAAAACCAGCACCUCAAGUGGUCAGGAUGAUUAUUGGGCCUAAAGCAUCCGUAGCCUGCUUUGUCAGUUUUCGGUUAAAUCCAUUCGCUCAACGAAUGGGCUGCCGGGAAUACUGCAAAGCUAGGGAGUGGGAGAGGUAGACGGUACUCGGUAGGAAGGGGUAAAAUCCUUUGAUCUAUUGAUGACCACCUGUGGCGAAGGCGGUCUACCAGAACACGUCCGACGGUGAGGGAUGAAAGCUGGGGGAGCAAACCGGAUUAGAUACCCGGGUAGUCCCAGCUGUAAACUAUGCAAACUCAGUGAUGCAUUGGCUUGAUGCCAAUGCAGUGCUGCAGGGAAGCCGUUAAGUUUGCCGCCUGGGAAGUACG
rnacentral:rRNA from 1 species